rnacentral:rRNA from 1 species
UACGGAGGGGGCUAGCGUUGUUCGGAAUUACUGGGCGUAAAGCGCGCGUAGGCGGCUCUGCAAGUCGGGGGUGAAAUCCCGAGGCUCAACCUCGGAACUGCCUUCGAUACUGCGGGUCUCGAGUCCGGGAGAGGUGAGUGGAAUUCCUAGUGUAGAGGUGAAAUUCGUAGAUAUUAGGAAGAACACCGGCGGCGAAGGCGGCUCACUGGCCCGGUACUGACGCUGAGGCGCGAAAGCGUGGGGAGCAAACAGG